GAUUUGGUAGCCGAGCGACAACAGCGCCGGUCUUCAAAGGGAAGGACGUGGGUUCAAAUCCCAUCCGGAUUG
rfam:Anopheles culicifacies strain species A-37_1 cont1.8277, whole genome shotgun sequence.